ACAAAAUAAAAAAAAAAAGAAAAGAAAAGAAAAAAGCAAGAGAUAAUGUUCUUCGUCUUCAACUUCAACACAGAGUCACUUACAGAUUUUUUCUUCGUCUUCAAGACGAAGGCAGCCUUGAAGACUUCAACACAAAUUUGAAGAUCUGAAAAUUUGUGGAUGUAUUCUUAAAAGAGGAAAAUUUGUGGAUGUAUUCUCACCUCAAACUUUUUCGCGGGUUGAAAAGAGGAAAGACAAAAUCUGUUCAAUCAUAAUAAAGCGAUGAUGAUCGAGCCUACGUCAAGAUCAUGCUCGACGUUGAAAUCUGGUCGAAAAGUCAAGAUCAGGUCGAGAUCGCGUGGUUGUUUGUGGCAAAAACUUGCUCGGCACUAUAGGUAUCGACGACAGUUUCUUCGGCGUCCUCUGACCUUCCAAUGAUGUCGACCGACUCGCAGAAGUGUGUUAACUCUAAUCAUCCAUUGGUCGAAGUAAGGGCCACUCUCGCACUGACUUGCAUUCUGCCGACUAUGCGAGGUCACAAAAGAGGUUGUGGCAGUGUUGGACCACCUUUUACUCAGGCAUUGCCGUUGGUAAUACAACCUUCAGUGGUUUCACAUUCUCCUUUCCCUUUUCAAGCAUAGUGUGUGAACUUGAAUGAGGGUGGUCUUUGAAACCCUAACCUAGAUUUGUGUUUUGUGAACAGAUCUGUGUUUGAACAAAUUUGUUGUUGUUGUGUAUCCAUCUCUGUGUGUGUGUGUGUGUGUGUGUGUGUGUGUGUGUGUUUCUUUUUGGUGUUUUUGU